rnacentral:lncRNA from 1 species
AAGAACAUACGUCGGAUACGGAGGCGGAGGAAGCGGCAAAAGACUCGCACUGAUCUCUGCUUUUGUGGCUGAGUUGAGCCUGUUUGAGGUAAUGAUAGUAUAUAUACAAAUGGAUAUUUCGUUGCAAUAAUCUUUCAUUCCUGACCUUUAAUCUGUCAUGCUUUUAAUAUACGAGUCAUAGAUGUUGCUGAAAUAAUGGCGACAUGUAUUAUAAGAGUCAGAUGAUAGUAAAUGUAAAUGCUCAACUGACUAUGAUUAUCUCAAAACAAUUACAACUCCGGGAAGUAGUUGUUUGGGUUCAUUGUUUAUCCAUAUAUAUUAUGCUGGUGAAGUGAGGUUCUUUUGUUCGUUUUUUAGGGUGUGCUUGCUCUUAAUAAUGGUUUAUUUAUUAAGAUGGAUUGAAAUUUUGGAAUAAUUUAAGAUUUUUGUUAAAUUCUAUAAUUUGAGCAAACUUGUUUCGUUUAUAUCUAAUUGAAAGGGAUGAUAUUGGAGAAAUUCUUUUGAGCAAACUUGUUUCGUUUAUAUCUAAUUGAACUAUAUCUAAUUGAGAGGAUGAUAUUGGAGAAAUUCUAAAGACGAAGAUAAAAAUAUUUGAUCAUUUGUAUUACUCUUUUCAUUUCAACUUUUAGUAUCCAUUUGAGAGUGUCAUGAAUUUUAAUAAAAUGAUUGAGUGUAUUGUGAAUGAAAUAAGAGUCUCAUAUUUUAUGUGAGUAUUAAAAAGAAAAUAGAUAGCAAAAUGUGGGUUUGCCAAAAAAGAAAAUAUGGAUACUAAAAGUUAAAAUGGAGGGAGUAUUAAUCAUAAAUAGUAAAUGGCUUUUAUGAGAAUAGAUAGUGAUAAUUUUUUUUUGAUCAGGAAUAGUUAGUGAUAAUUAACUAAUAGUCUUUUGACAAUGCAUACAAAAUGUUUGUUUGGCAGGUCUUAUUUAUCUAGAUAGUUAAAUAAUUUGGAGUUAUUUAUGUGUGGUACUCUGUAUUAUUCCUUCCGUCUCGACUUUUAGUAUCUAUUUGAGAGUGAUGCGGAUUUUAAUAAAGUAAUUGGCGUAUUGUGAAUAGAAUAUGGGUCUCACCUUUUAUAUGAGUGUUAAAAUAAUUCAAGAGGAACAAGGGUGGGUCCCACCUAUUUUUACUAAAAAUAAAUAUGGAUAUCAAAAUGUGAGACGGUCAAAAAAGAAAAUAUGGAUAUUAAAAGCUGGAACGGAGGGAGUAUUAAUUAAGAGGAUUCAAGAUACAACUAGUACCCUUUCUGAAAUUAUUAUUUCUCUUUUAAAAAUCUCACAUUACCCUUGAGAUUUCACUAUUUCUUUUUGAAUAACAACCUCACAUCACCCAUUGGAUUUCAAUAUUUCUCUUAGAAAAAUAAUUUCACAUCACCUUUGAGAUAAUUAUACAAUAAUUAUUUAUUAUUAUUCAUUGUACUUCAUCCGUCCCACUAUAAGCGAUCUGUAUUCUAUUUUGGGGCGUCCCACUAUAAGUGGCAUGUUUCCACAAAUGGAAAAAUUUAACCCUUAGAAAAAUGUAGGCCCUACCACUUUUAAACAAUUUACACUUUCUCCUUAAUUCUUGUGCCGAAAAGUUUUGAUUUUUGAGUCACUUAUAGUGGGACGGAAGGAGUAUUAUUUAUCUUAUGUUUAUUAAUCAGUAAAUUUCCAAAUAUGAAUACCAAACAAAUACUCCCACUGUCUCGCGAAACUUGAUCAAUAUUUUUUUUCGGGUUGUCCUACGAAGCUUAAACACUUACUUUAUAUGGCACAAGUUUUUCCAUUUAUUCACCUUUUCACUUUUUCACCUACCUCACUUAACACACAAAAUACUACUCCAUCUGUCCCACUUUAAUAGGCGUAUUUAUUUUGGGCACGGAGAUUAAGAAACUUACAUUUUAGGAGGAAAGUGGUGUGGUGCACAUCAAUUAAGUACAUUUUUUUUACUCAAAAUGAAAAACGAGAAUGUUUUAAUGCGACGCCCCAAAAAGAAAAACGAGCCUAUUAGAGUGGGACGAAGGAAGUAAUUCCUUAAAACCCUUGCCGAAAAGAAAUUGUUCAAGCUUUGCGGGACAGAGGGAGUAACGUGUGUCAGCUCUUUUGUAAGUGCACAAGAUAUUAAGUAACUAUUUAUGAAAAAUAGAAAAAGCAAGCAUUAAAAAUAGGGUUAUUAGAAAUCAAUUUUGGGGGUAUUUGGUUUUACACAAACUUUAAAAGGUGUAAAAAAAUACAUGAAUUUUAAUGUUGUAGCAAUUUCAUCACAAAUUCAAAUAUUAGAUAUUCGAACUCCAUAAAAAUCUUAAGAUUUACGAGUUUAGAGAUGUCUUACAUGAUAUCUUUNUCGGAGGAUGGUUCAAUAAAAUACGAGGAGGUUGUGGUAGGAAAUGAUGGAGACAUAGUUGGUACAAUCUUCAAAUACAAUCGCAGUAAUCUGUUCAUCAUCGGACGAAUGCCCGAGUGUCGACUUGUUGCAGCUGUUAACAAGAAGAGUGAAUGUCCUGAACUGGGACCGGUGGGGAACUUGCUGAUUUCGCCGCAGUUUAAAACCAUAGCAUCGGUUCUGGUGGUGCAGCAAUACCGCGGGCAGCUGAUGGGAGACUCGCUGGCAUCGUUGAAGGAAGAACAUACGUCGGAUACGGAGGCGGAGGAAGCGGCAAAAGACUCGCACUGAUCUCUGCUUUUGUGGCUGAGUUGAGCCUGUUUGAGGUAAUGAUAGUAUAUAUACAAAUGAAUAUUUCGUUGCAAUAAUCUUUCAUUCCUGACCUUUAAUCUGUCAUGCUUUUAAUAUACGAGUCAUAGAUGUUGCUGAAAUAAUGGCGACAUGUAUUAUAAGAGUCAGAUGAUAGUAAAUGUAAAUGCUCAACUGACUAUGAUUAUCUCAAAACAAUUACAACUCCGGGAAGUAGUUGUUUGGGUUCAUUGUUUAUCCAUAUAUAUUAUGCUGGUGAAGUGAGGUUCUUU